rnacentral:rRNA from 1 species
GAAUUGACGGGGGCCCGCACAAGCGGUGGAGCAUGUGGUUUAAUUCGAUGCAACGCGAAGAACCUUACCUGGUCUUGACAUCCACGGAAGUUUUCAGAGAUGAGAAUGUGCCUUCGGGAACCGUGAGACAGGUGCUGCAUGGCUGUCGUCAGCUCGUGUUGUGAAAUGUUGGGUUAAGUCCCGCAACGAGCGCAACCCUUAUCCUUUGUUGCCAGCGGUCCGGCCGGGAACUCAAAGGAGACUGCCAGUGAUAAACUGGAGGAAGGUGGGGAUGACGUCAAGUCAUCAUGGCCCUUACGACCAGGGCUACACACGUGCUACAAUGGCGCAUACAAAGAGAAGCGACCUCGCGAGAGCAAGCGGACCUCAUAAAGUGCGUCGUAGUCCGGAUUGGAGUCUGCAACUCGACUCCAUGAAGUCGGAAUCGCUAGUAAUCGUGGAUCAGAAUGCCACGGUGAAUACGUUCCCGGGCCUUGUACACACCGCCCGUCACACCAUGGGAGUGGGUUGCAAAAGAAGUAGGUAGCUUAACCUU